UGAGUGAUUUUUGUCCAUUUAUGACCUUAUAACAGUUGUUUUAUUACAUGUGUUUACUUUUUAGCAAGUGCUGCUUGGAUGUUUUAUGGCAAGAGGAUGGAGACUGUUGUCACAGCAACCGAUGAGGAGGUAGAUCAGUCAAAUCACACACU